rnacentral:rRNA from 1 species
GAUGAACGCUGGCGGCGUGCCUAAUGCAUGCAAGUCGAGCGAACGGACGAGAAGCUUGCUUCUCUGAUGUUAGCGGCGGACGGGCGAGUAACACGUGGAUAACCUACCUAUAAGACUGGGAUAACUUCGGGAAACCGGAGCUAAUACCGGAUAAUAUUUUGAACCGCAUGGUUCAAAAGUGAAAGACGGUCUUGCUGUCACUUAUAGAUGGAUCCGCGCUGCAUUAGCUAGUUGGUAAGGUAACGGCUUACCAAGGCAACGAUGCAUAGCCGACCUGAGAGGGUGAUCGGCCACACUGGAACUGAGACACGGUCCAGACUCCUACGGGAGGCAGCAGUAGGGAAUCUUCCGCAAUGGGCGAAAGCCUGACGGAGCAACGCCGCGUGAGUGAUGAAGGUCUUCGGAUCGUAAAACUCUGUUAUUAGGGAAGAACAUAUGUGUAAGUAACUGUGCACAUCUUGACGGUACCUAAUCAGAAAGCCACGGCUAACUACGUG